CGGUGCCAGCCGCCGCGGAACACCGGCAGCUCUAGUUGGUAGCUGUUUUAUUGGGCCUAAAGCGUUCGUAGCCGGUUUAAUAAGUCUCUGGUGAAAUCCUAUAGCUUAACUGUGGGAAUUGCUGGAGAUACUAUUAGGCUUGAGAUCGGGAGAGGUCAGAGGUACUCCUGGGGUAGGGGUGAAAUCCUGUAAUCCUAGGAGGACCACCUGUGGCGAAGGCGUCUGACUAGAACGAAUCUGACGGUGAGGAACGAAAGCUAGGGGCGCGAACCGGAUUAGAUACCCGGGUAGUCCUAGCCGUAAACUAUGCGGACUUGGUGUGAGGGUGGCUUUGAGCCGUCCUGGUGCCGAAGGGAAGCUGUUAAGUCCGCCGCCUGGGAAGUACAGUCGCAAGACUGAAACUUAAAGGAAUUGGCGGGGGAGCACCACAACGCGUGGAGCCUGCGGUUUAAUUGGAUUCAACGCCGGAGAUCUCACCAGCGGCGACAGCAGUAUGAUGACCAGGUUGAUGACUUUGUUUGACAAGCUGAGUAGUGGUGCAUGG
rnacentral:rRNA from 1 species